rnacentral:rRNA from 1 species
GGAGUUAGCCGGUGCUUCUUCUGCGAGUAACGUCACAGAUGUAAGGUAUUAACUUACACCCUUUCCUCCUCGCUGAAAGUGCUUUACAACCCGAAGGCCUUCUUCACACACGCGGCAUGGCUGCAUCAGGGUUUCCCCCAUUGUGCAAUAUUCCCCACUGCUGCCUCCCGUAGGAGUCUGGGCCGUGUCUCAGUCCCAGUGUGGCUGAUCAUACUCUCAGACCAGCUAGGGAUCGUCGCCUAGGUGAGCCUUUACCUCACCUACUAGCUAAUCCCACCUGGGCUUAUCCAUCAGCGCAAGGCCCGAAGGUCCCCUGCUUUCCCCCGUAGGGCGUAUGCGGUAUUAGCAGUCGUUUCCAACUGUUAUCCCCCACAAAUGGGCAAAUUCCCAGGCAUUACUCACCCGUCCGCCGCUCGUCAUCUUCAAAAGCAAGCUUUUGAAAUGUUACCGCUCGACUUGCAUGUGUUAGGCCUGCCGCCAGCGUUCAAUCUGAGCCAGGAUCAAACUCUGA